rnacentral:rRNA from 1 species
UGAGCAAUCUGCCCUUCACACUGGGAUAACCCCCGGAAACGGGAGCUAAUACCGGAUACGACCACUUCAGGCAUCUGACGGUGGUGGAAAGUUCUGGCGGUGAAGGAUGAGCUCGCGGCCUAUCAGCUUGUUGGUGAGGUAAUGGCUCACCAAGGCUUCGACGGGUAGCCGGCCUGAGAGGGUGACCGGCCACACUGGGACUGAGACACGGCCCAGACUCCUACGGGAG